GCCCACUGAAGCCGGGGCACCUACAGCCCGUGUCCCAAACAGAAGCCGCUGCACUGAGAAGCCCGCUGGUCACAAGAGGGGAAGCCCACAUGCACCCAGGAAGACCCAGCACAGCCAAACAUAAGGGGACCUUCCCCACCCAGGGAUUGAACCCAGGUCUCCAGCACUGCAGGCGGAUUCUCCAGCGUCUGAGCCACCAGGGCGACCUGGAUCAUUUUUCACGCAGGAUCAUCUCCUUCCGGCCAAAGCCGAGUUCUCUGGGACGGGGGUCCUUCUGCAUUUUGAGGAUGGAGAGAAAAGGCCGGACUUUUCUGAGCCGGUGUUUGGAGAGAGAUGUUUG